CACCAUUGGAAGCCGAUAGUAGGAGCGUAGCCGACACACUUCGAUUCUUCCAUUUCAUUUUGUUCUCUGAAUAAAGACAGUCGUCUUUUUGUGAAUUAAAAUGAGAGCUAAGUGGCGUAAGAAGCGUAUGCGUAGACUUAAGCGUAAGCGCAGAAAGAUGCGUGCCCGUUCCAAGUAAACUGGGGACCAGAUGCUCGAAUCAUAAUGAUUCCACAGAGAGCACAACCACACCGUUUGUUCCAAACAUUCAACACGGCGGUUGAAUGCGGCAUUUAUGACAUGAAAACUUUUUGAUUUCAAAACCUUUUUACGAAUAAAUCGUAUUUGAUUGCCACUAAAAAACAAACAAAAA